UUUCUAGAUGUUCUGGGCCGCACGCGCGCUACACUGAACAGUUCAACAAGUCUUAACCUUGGCCGAUAGGUCUGGGUAAUCUUUGAACGCUGUUCGUGAUUGGGAUAGACCUUUGCAAUUAUGGGUCUUCAACGAGGAAUUCCUAGUAAACGCAAGUCAUCAGCUUGCAUUGAUUACGUCCCUGCCCUUUGUACACACCGCCCGUCGCACCUACCGAUUGAAUGGUCCGGUGAAAUCUCGGGACGGCGGCUUGGUCGCUUGCGUCCGACUGCUGAAACUUGAUUAAACCAUAUCAUUUAGAGGAAGGUGAAGUCGUAACA
rnacentral:rRNA from 1 species